rnacentral:rRNA from 1 species
CAGCAGUGGGGAAUUUUGGACAAUGGGCGAAAGCCUGAUCCAGCAAUGCCGCGUGUGUGAAGAAGGCCUUCGGGUUGUAAAGCACUUUUGGCGGGAACGAAACGGUGUUGGCUAAUAUCCGACACUAAUGACGGUACCCGCAGAAUAAGCACCGGCUAACUACGUGCCAGCAGCCGCGGUAAUGCACGGGGGGCCUACGGGAG